AAAGGGUGCGUAGGCGGCCUGUUAAGUCAGGGGUGAAAGACGGUAGCUCAACUAUCGCAGUGCCCUUGAUACUGAUGGGCUUGAAUUGACUAGAGGUAGGCGGAAUGUGACAAGUAGCGGUGAAAUGCAUAGAUAUGUCACAGAACACCGAUUGCGAAGGCAGCUUACUAUGGUCUUAUUGACGCUGAGGCACGAAAGCGUGGGGAUCAAACAGGAUUAGAUACCCCAGU
rnacentral:rRNA from 1 species